CGCAGAGUGCGCCCUUGGGGCUUAAUGCGGAGGGCCGGUCACAAUCCCGG
rnacentral:ribozyme from 1 species